GUAUCAACGAAUCCCGACAACCUGCGAAUACGACCAGAAAUUAAUACGCAGGUUCACGUUUUCCCUGGUGUUGGCGCAGUAUUCGCGCACCCCGGCCUCGGU
rnacentral:sRNA from 1 species